UACGUAGGGGGGCAAGCGUUUGUCCGGAUUUACUGGGCGUAAAGAGCGUGUAGGCGGCCAAACAGGUCCGUUGUGAAAACUGGAGGCUCAACUUCCAGACGUCGACGGAAACCGUGUGGCUAGAGUCCGGAAGAGGAGAGUGGAAUUCCUGGUGUAGCGGUGAAAUGCGCAGAUAUCAGGAAGAACACCAAUGGCGAAGGCAGCUCUCUGGGACGGUACUGACGCUGAGACGCGAAAGCGUGGGGAGCGAACAGG
rnacentral:rRNA from 1 species